rnacentral:rRNA from 1 species
UCCGUAGGUGAACCUGCGGCGAAAGUGAUCAUUAGAGUUUGAGCCGGCGCUUGGGUGCGCGGCGAGAUCUA